rnacentral:rRNA from 1 species
GACGAACGCUGGCGGCGUGCUUAACACAUGCAAGUCGAACGGAAAGGUCCUGCUUUUGUGGGGUGCUCGAGUGGCGAACGGGUGAGUAACACGUGAGUAACCUGCCCUUGACUUUGGGAUAACUUCAGGAAACUGGGGCUAAUACCGGAUAGGAGCUCCUGCUGCACGGUGGGGGUUGGAAAGUUUCGGCGGUUGGAGAUGGACUCGCGGCUUAUGAGCUGGUUGGUGGGGUAGUGGCUUACCAAGGCUUUGACGGGUAGCCGGCCUGAGAGGGUGACCGGCCACAUUGCGCCUGAGAUACGGCCCAGAAUCCUACGGGAGGCAGCAGUGGGGAAUAUUGCACAAUGGGCGGAAGCCUGAUGCAGCAACGCCGCGUGCGGGAUGACGGCCUUCGGGUUGUAAACCGCUUUCGACUGUGACGAAGCGUGAGUGACGGUAAUGGGUAAAGAAGCACCGGCUAACUACGUG